UGAUGGUUGUGUAUGUGUGGUGAUUGAGGUGUGUGUGUGGUGAUGGUGCUGUGUGUGUGGUGAUGGUGGUGUAUGUGUGGUGAUGUGGUGUGUGUCUGUGGUUAUGGUGGUGUGUGUGUGGUUAUGGUGGUGUGUGUGUCGUUAUGGUGCUGUGUAUGUGGUGAUGGUGGUGUAUGUGUGGUGAUCGUGGUGUAUGUGUGGUGAUGUGGUGUGUAUGUGGUGAUGGUGGUGUAUGUGUGGUGAUGGAGGUGUAUGUGUGGUGAUCGUGGUGUAUGUGUGGUGAUGGUGGUGUGUAUGUGGUAAUGGUUGUAUAUGUGAUGUGAUGUUGGUGUGUAUGUGGUUAUGGUGGUGUGUAUGUGGUGAUGGUAGUGUAUAUGUGGUGAUGGUGGUGUGUGUGUGGUGAUCGUGGUGUAUGUGUGGUGAUGGUGCUGUGUGUGUGGUUAUGGUGGUGUGUGUGUGGUGAUAGUGGUGUAUGUGUGGUGAUGGUGGUAUGUAUGUGGUGAUGGUGGUGUGUGUGUGGUGAUGGUGCUGUUUGUGUGGUUAUGGUGGUGUGUGAGAGGUGAUAGUGGUGUAUGUGUGGUGAUCGUGGUGUAUGUGUGGUGUUGGUGGAUUAUGUGUGGUGAUUUUGGUAAAUGUAUUGUGAUGGUGCUGUAUGUGUGGUGAUGGUGGUGUUUAUGUGAUGAUUGUGGAUUAUGUGUGGUGAAGGUGGUAUGUAUGUGGUGGUGGUGGUGUGUGUGUGGUUAUAGUGGUGUAUGUGUGGUGAUGGUGCUGUGUGUGUGGUUAUGGUGGUGUAUUGUGGUGAUUGUGGUGUGUGUGUGGUGAUGGUGGUGUGUUUGUGGUUAUGGUGGUGUGUAUGUGGUGAUGGUGGAUUAUGUGUGGUGAUUUUGGUAAAUGUAUUGUGAUGGUGGUGUAUGUGUCGUGAUAGUGCUUACAUGUGGUGAUCGUGGUGUAUGUGUGGUGACUGUGGUAUGUAUGUGGUGAUGGUUGUGUAUGUGUGGUGAUGGUGCUGUGUGUGUGGUGAUGGUAGUGUUUUUGUGGUGAUAGUGGUGUAUGUGUUGUGAUGGUGGUGAGGGUGUGGUUAUGGUGGUGUAUGUGUGGUGAUGGUGCUGUGUGUGUGGUUAUGGUGGUGUAUGUGUGGUGAUCGUGGUAUAUGUGUGGUGACUGUGGUGUGUAUGUGGUGAUGGUGGUGUGUGUGUGGUGAUGGUGGUGUAUAUGUAGUUUUUAUGGUGUGUGUGUGGUUAUGGUAGUGUAUAUGUGGUGAUGGUGGUGUGUGUGUGGUUAUGGUGGUGUAUGUGUUGUGAUGAUGGUGUAUGUGUGGUGAAUGUGGUGUUUAUGUGGUGAUG
rnacentral:lncRNA from 1 species